GGGCCAUUACCAUUGUGACGUCGGCGCCCAUGGGUACUCUCCCUUUUCGAAACGUUUUGAAAGACAAUGCAACCGUCCCAAUGGAAUAUUAUUGAAGCCCUGGUUGAAAAAGCCCCUAAAGAUUUAUGUUAUACAACGUUUGACAUGUUUGAACGAACUUAAAUAUAUAUUUUUUGCUCAUUCCUGACGACAAGUCAGACGCACACGGUACAUUUUUACUAGCCUUUGGAGCGCGCUAACACUAUUGGGACAUAAAUUAUUAACUUUUUUGAACAAAACGACAUUUUUUAUGGACCUGGGAUUCUUAGAAGUGCCUUCUGAUAAAGAUAAUCAAAGGACCUGAGCCCUAGGACCAUGCCUCAGGACUACCUGUCAUGAUGACUCCUUGCUGUCCCCAGUCCACCUGGCCAUGCUGCUGCUCCAGUUUCAACUGUUCUGCCUGCGGCUAUGGAACCCUGACCUGUUCACCGGACGUGCUUGUUGCACCCUCGACAACUACUAUGGACAAUAAACCAACACACCUCCAGGCUGUGUAAGGGAUAUUUGAACAAGAAGGAGAGUGAUGCAUCAGAUGACCCGGUCUCCACAAUCACCCAACCUCAAUGAGAUGGUUUGGGAUGAGUUGGAACGCAGAGUGAAAGAAAAUCAACCAACAAGUCUCAGCGUAUGUGGGAACUCCUUCAAGACUGUUGGAAAAGCAUUCCAGGUGACGCUGGUUGAGAGAAUGCCAAGAGUGUACCAAGCUGUCAUCAAGGCAAAGGGUUGCUACUUUGAAGAAUCUCAAAUAUAUUUUGAUUUGUUUAACACUUUGUUUGGCUACUACGUGAUUC
rnacentral:lncRNA from 1 species